UUGGAGGGCAAGUCUGGUGCCAGCAGCCGCGGUAAUUCCAGCUCCAAUAGCGUAUAUUAAAGUUGUUGCAGUUAAAAAGCUCGUAGUUGAAUUUCGGAAUUUUUUUAUCGGUUGAAUCAACAGGUUCGUACUGAUUUUAAGAAUUUCUACCUUCUGGAGAACCUUAAUGUCAUUAAUUUGGUGUUUUGGGAAACCAGGACUGUUACCUUGAAAAAAUUAGAGUGUUUAAAGCAGGCUUAUGUCUGAAUAUAUUAGCAUGGAAUAAUGAAAUAGGACUGCAUGGUUCUAUUUUGUUGGUUUCUAGGAUCACCGUAAUGAUUAAUAGGGAUAGUUGGGGGCAUUAGUAUUCAAUUGUCAGAGGUGAAAUUCUUGGAUUUAUUGAAGACUAACUUCUGCGAAAGCAUUUGCCAAGGAUGUUUUCAUUAAUCAAGAACGAAAGUUAGGGGAUCGAAGACGAUCAGAUACCGUCGUAGUCUUAACCAUAAACUAUGCCGACUAGGAAUCGGACGAAGUUAAUUUUUUAAUGACUCGUUCGGCGCCUUACGGGAAAC
rnacentral:rRNA from 1 species